GUGAUUUGUUGUGCUGCUGGAUUAAUCACCGUCACUGGAGUCGUCCUCGGGCUCACUCUCAGAAAGUGUUAUUGCAGAUACAAUUCACGGUCAGGAUCAUCCGUCUGUGAAACCCCCGUCUCUGUGGACAAAGAUGAGCGAGAUGAUCCCUACACAAGCCUUGAGCAGUCAGGAAGCGGCCUCUACGAGACUAUGUCCCCAGUGCACC